rnacentral:lncRNA from 1 species
UGUUGGUACACGAACAGUAUUUCUUUCUCGAAUACUGCAGACUACUAAACUUUAACAUUUAAAGUGUCGAGAAGGAGGAUUUGCUGUUCUGGAAUAUGAAUUCUGAACAAUUGAUUGCUCAAAUCUAUUUUCUGUAAAAUCGUGACACAUCUGUAGUAUUCAUUUGGAUUAUUAUCAACGUUGUUAACGAUCACAUUUACGGUAACCCAAC